UACGUAGGUGGCAAGCGUUGUCCGGAAUUAUUGGGCGUAAAGCGCGCGCGGGCGGUCCUUUAAGUCUGAUGUGAAAGCCCACGGCUCAACCGUGGAGGGUCAUUGGAAACUGGGGGACUUGAGUGCAGAAGAGGAAAGCGGAAUUCCACGUGUAGCGGUGAAAUGCGUAGAGAUGUGGAGGAACACCAGUGGCGAAGGCGGCUUUCUGGUCUGUAACUGACGCUGAGGCGCGAAAGCGUGGGGAGCAAACAGG
rnacentral:rRNA from 1 species